rnacentral:rRNA from 1 species
UACGUAGGGGGCAAGCGUUGUCCGGAAUCAUUGGGCGUAAAGAGCGUGUAGGCGGCCUGGUAAGUCCGCUGUGAAAGUCCAGGGCUCAACCCUGGAAUGCCGGUGGAAACUGUCAGGCUCGAGUCCGGAAGAGGCGAGUGGAAUUCCUGGUGUAGCGGUGAAAUGCGCAGAUAUCAGGAGGAACACCAGCGGCGAAGGCGGCGCUCUGGGCCGGUACUGACACUGAGGAGCGAAAGCGUGGGUAGCAAACAGG